UACGAAGGGGGCUAGCGUUGCUCGGAAUCAUUGGGCGUAAAGCGCGUGUAGGCGGCCCGGUAAGUCCGCUGUGAAAGUCGGGGGCUCAACCCUCGAAUGCCGGUGGAUACUGUCGGGCUAGAGUGCGGGAGAGGCGAGUGGGAUCCUGGUGUAGCGGUGAAAUGCGCAGAUAUCAGGAGGAACACCAAUUGCGAAGGCAGCUCGCUGGAACGUAACUGACGCUGAGACGCGAA
rnacentral:rRNA from 1 species